rnacentral:rRNA from 1 species
GAUGAACGCUGGCGGCGUGCCUAAUACAUGCAAGUCGAGCGAACAGACGAGGAGCUUGCUCCUCUGACGUUAGCGGCGGACGGGUGAGUAACACGUGGAUAACCUACCUAUAAGACUGGGAUAACUUCGGGAAACCGUAGCUAAUACCGGAUAAUAUAUUGACCCGCAUGGUUCAAUAGUGAAAGACGGUUUUGCUGUCACUUAUAGAUGGAUCCGCGCCGCAUUAGCUAUUUGGUAAGGUAACGGCUUACCAAGGCAACGAUGCGUAGCCGACCUGAGAGGGUGAUCGGCCACACUGGAACUGAGACACGGUCCAGACUCCUACGGGAGGCAGCAGUAGGGAAUCUUCCGCAAUGGGCGAAAGCCUGACGGAGCAACGCCGCGUGAGUGAUGAAGGUCUUCGGAUCGUAAAACUCUGUUAUUAGGGAAGAACAAAUGUGUAAGUAACUAUGCACGUCUUGACGGUACCUAAUCAGAAAGCCACGGCUAACUACGUG